UCAACAUACUCCCCUCUGAUUCGCCCCCACUAAUGACUCGCGCCCUUUCCAAAGUCCCAGCACACCGCGCUUAUAAUCUCUUUCAGCUGUCCUUAAAAAGGUUCUAUUUGUCACCUCCGCCCCGCUCAGGGGCGCCCGGACUCUGGGGCCCGGCCUUCCCGGGCUCCCGGGUUCCUCCCAUCGCUUCCCUCACAGGCCUGGCCGCAGGGCCGGCCCAGCGGGUUUCGCACGGGAGGGAAUGUUUGGAUGGCUAACGCCCAGGGUUGGUCUCCCCUGUGUCUUUUAUGGGAACACGUUCCUGCCUGCGCCCCACGGGACAGAGCCGUUUUCCCGCCCCGCCACGCCGCGCCCGCAGGCCCCGCUGCCCGCAGCCUCUUCCCGACGCCCCAGGCCGGGCGCCCCCGCAACCGGCCCACCGCGUGCUGUGCGGGGCUUCCGCUCCUGCGCACGAAUGCUUCUGCGAGCUUUCUCGGAAGCAGCUGGGGGGCGGGGAAUCUGCUGAGGAACGGCGCUUUAUAAAUCAAAAAAUAAUAAUAACAGAGCUUACGGUGAGCACCGGAGGCUGGAAACGGGGUGGCAUCCGCUCGGGGCGGGGCGGCGUCGCCAGCGAAUGACAACACUGCCCCCUGGUGGCCGAUGCGGCCAGGCCCGAGAGAGCGCAGGCCGGGUGCGAGCCAGGCUUCUUCACCACGCGGUUUCCCCACUCAUCCCGUAGAAACCGUAACUGAGCAAAUGACAGAUUGCUACACUUAGCAGGACGUCCCCCAGGCUCAUCCAUGUUGUAGCGUGUCAGGGUUUCCCUCCCUGUUAAGAGGCCAUCCUGAUGAGUACGAGGUGGUAGAGCUGCCUGCUUUUUGAUUAAUGUGACGAUCACACCCUCUGCCUGGGAGUUUUACAGACUGGUGAUGACUUUUUGUGGCAUCUCAGGAAAGAACAUGACUUCAUGGACGUCCUUAGUCAGAAUCUACUCAGUGUAUCUACUCAGUAUAGGCUCACAUAAGCCCUCACCUCCCCAGGGAGUCACAACCUCUACUAUACUUCUUCCUUCUGCUCUGCCCCCCACAAACGGCCCUGCCAGCCCUCACCACCUAGAGGAAGAUUGGGAGCCGGUAGAGGAAAGACACCCUAAAUCCCCGAGGUCAAGCAAAGCCCUGGGGAGGCGCCGUGGGAUCCCUGCCUCGGGCCUGCCUAGACAGUAUGUGAAUGAGUAUCCCAGAGAUUCUCCCCGCUGUGACCUCGAGGGCCAGCCUGCCUGUGUGGCCGUGAGCUGCUUUCUUCCCAGAGGAACUUGCUUGCGGCAGCAGGACUCCACAGCCUCAGGGGCAGCUUGGGCCUCGGCAAAGUGGGGAGCUGCCUCAGUCCAGCAGGGGUCCAAAUCACCUCCUCAUUUAGAGGGACCAUGUCUCUAGAGAGAUGACAUGCCAAAAAUGAAAACCUCACAGGAGCUUUUUGUCCACCUGCAAGUGAGGUACAGACACGUUUGAGACGGUGGAUGGACUUUUUUUUUCUCUUUUCUCUCUUUCCAAAAUCUGGACACACCAUGGCCCAGUGAUGGAGAAGAAGUCGAGGACCUGGCAAGGAUCUUCUUUCUUAGGAGUGGCGGAGGGCUGACCAGUCUCAAUAAAGCACAGGGGGAGCCCCUGUGACCCAGCGUCUGGGUGGCAGCCUGUGGACAAUCUGCAGCUCAUCUGGAUCACGCAGCUCAGCUGAACUCACAGCCCGAGGUCCAGCACUGCCCAGGGGCUGGCAGCCGUCCUGCUUGGGUGGGGCUCUGCAGGAUGGGCAACCACACGACGGUCUCCCUGGGAGCCUGGGAAAAGGGAGGGUUCACAGAUUACAAGGGGACAAGACCCUGUUGGACAAAAAUGACCAAGUGGGAAGCUGCCUAGCUCUGACCAGGUCUGGGAACACAUUGGGAUUGGAAGUCAUCUAAAUAUAGCCUGUUUAUAGACUGCGAUCUGACUUUCUCAGGCACUGUUUGUAUGAGAGCUGGUAACUAUAGCACAAUUUUUCUAAACUGGUCAUUUUCAACACUGACUUUUUAUUUGCAUUUGAAAUGAUUUUAUUAUUGGCACCAGAGAACUAGAAUCUCAGACUAUUGCUGUGGCUGAAAGCUACGCACAGCUUUCCAUGAAAUCUUAAUUUAUCAGCCUGUUUGGGUGUUUGAACAUUUAAAGCAAGCAAGAUAAAAGAAUCUGAAGG